UGCUCAAAAUGAAGGCACUUGUCUGAGUCUGCGUGGAAAGUGCUUCCAUUUUGUGUGUCACCGGCUGUGGA
rnacentral:miRNA from 1 species